rnacentral:rRNA from 1 species
GACGAACGCUGGCGGCGUGCUUAACACAUGCAAGUCGAACGGUGAAGCGCCUUCCUUUUUGGUGGGUGUGGAUGAGUGGCGAACGGGUGAGUAACACGUGAGUAACCUGCCCCCUUCUUCUGGAUAACCGCAUGAAAGUGUGGCUAAUACGGGAUAUUCUGGGUCUGUCGCAUGAUGGGUCUGGGAAAGAUAUUGUUUCGGUGGGGGAUGGGCUCGCGGCCUAUCAGCUUGUUGGUGGGGUGAUGGCCUACCAAGGCGGUGACGGGUAGCCGGCCUGAGAGGGUGGACGGUCACACUGGGACUGAGACACGGCCCAGACUCCUACGGGAGGCAGCAGUGGGGAAUAUUGCACAAUGGGAGCAAGCCUGAUGCAGCGACGCCGCGUGAGGGAUGGAGGCCUGCGGGUUGUGAACCUCUUUCGCCAGUGAAGCAGGCCUGCCUCGUUUGUGGGUGGGUUGACGGUAGCUGGAUAAGAAGCGCCGGCUAACUACGUG